UUCUUGUUUUUGUGUCUUUAACUAGGACUUCUAUUUGGAACUGAGUCCGACAGCUCAGGACUGGCUGCUCAAACUCCACAAUUUAAUGAAAAAUCUCAGAUGAUGACUCAGAAAACCUCUAAUGAUCUGAGGAAUAUAUUAAGGGAUUCCAGAGUCAAAGGCUGAUCAUGGAGGGCAUUGAUGAGGGAAGACUUCAGGUGGCUGGAGACCAGAAGAAAGGAACACUGGAAGAAUGAAAACGGUUGUGAUGCACUGCAGUGUGAAAAUAUGCCCUUGAGCCUUAAAGAAAGGGGCUUAAGGCCGGGCGCGGUGGCUCACGCCUGUACUCCCAGCACACAGAUCACGAGGUCAAGAGAUUUGAGACCAUCCUGGCCAACACGGUGAAACCCCGUCUCUACUAAAAAUACAAAAAAUUAUGUGGGAGUGGUGGCGCACGCCUGUAGUCCCAGCUACUCGGGAGGCUGAGGCAGGAGAAUCGCUGGAACCCAGGAGGCGGAGGAGGUUACAGUGAGCCGAGAUCGCGCCACUGUACUCCAGCCUGGCGACAGAGCGAGACUCCGUCUCAAAAAAAAAAAA
rnacentral:lncRNA from 10 species